rnacentral:misc_RNA from 1 species
GAUGAAGAACGUAGCGAAAUGCGAUAAGUAAUGUGAAUUGCAGAAUUCAGUGAAUCAUCGAAUCUUUGAACGCACAUUGCGCCCGCCAGUAUUCUGGCGGGCAUGCCUGUUCGAGCGUCAUUACAACCCUCAGGCCCCCGGGCCUGGCGUUGGGGAUCGGCGGAGCCCCCCGUGGGCACACGCCGUCCCCCAAAUACAGUGGCGGUCCCGCCGCAGCUUCCAUCGCGUAGUAGCUAACACCUCGCGACUGGAGAGCGGCGCGGCCACGCCGUAAAACACCCAACUCUUCUGAAGUUGACCUCGAAUCAGGUAGGAAUACCCGCUGAACUUAAGCAUCUCAAUAAGCGGAGGA